GUCCAGGGUAGCCUAGUGGACAUGGCAUCUGCCCGGUAAGCGGAACAUUGUGGGUUCGAUUCCCAUCCCUUGACA